GCCCGGGGCCUCUUCCGGAAGUGGGCGUCAGGGCGGAGCGCACCUGGUGCGCCUCUCCCCAGCUCUUAGCUUGGGUCCCAGCGUGCUGGCAGGGGUCUUGGGAGCCUGAGCCAGGCGGCUGGGAGCGCCCCUUUUGUGUGCGGAGCAGGGUCGGGUGCGGACCACAGAUAAGGGGACCGCAGGACCACCAGGGCUCAGGCUUCUGGAUAACGGGGCUGCGUCCAGGCUGAGAGGAGCGGGGUUGCCUCAGUGCCCACCAGCAACACCGCAAGAGGGAAAAAUGAGGACGAAGUAGACGUUUCCUGUGUCCAGCUGAAUGCUGACUGGAGGUCCAUCUCAGAGGACUCAGGAAGGAAAGAGCUCCAUGUGCAAAACGGAAAUGGCAUUAAUCUACAAAUAUAUAAAUCCUGCCUGCAUUAUUCAGCAGAAGAGCCAUGACACUGAUGCUCUUUCUAAAAUGGCUCUUCCUUCAAAGG